AUGCAUUUAUGUGGGCAGUUCCUUACAAACUUCUUGAAUCUGUUCCAUGCGUCACUGAGAGUUUCUCCAUCUCUUUGCUCAAAAUUUGUAAUGUCCCUUCAACGCUU